AGAAUUACAAUCCGGCGGCUGUUCGAAUCAGCCCUCGUCCAGGGCGAGUAGUGAAAUGGUCACACGUUAAAUUCAUUUG
rnacentral:tRNA from 1 species